rnacentral:rRNA from 1 species
UCGGGAAUAUUGCGCAAUGGGCGAAAGCCUGACGCAGCCAUGCCGCGUGUGUGAAGAAGGCCCUAGGGUUGUAAAGCACUUUCAAUUGGGAGGAAAAGCUAAUGGUUAAUAGCCAUUAGCCCUGACGUUACCUUUAGAAGAAGCACCGGCUAACUCCGUGCCAGCAGCCGCGGUAAUACGGAGGGUGCAAGCGUUAAUCGGAAUUACUGGGCGUAAAGCGCGCGUAGGCGGUUUUUAAGUCGGAUGUGAAAGCCCCGGGCUCAACCUGGGAAUUGCAUCCGAUACUGGAUAACUAGAAUGCGGGAGAGGGAGGUAGAAUUCCAUGUGUAGCAGUGAAAUGCGUAGAUAUA